GACCUACUAGCUCAGUUGGUAGAGCACCUGACUUUUAAUCAGGGUGUCCCGCGUUCGAGUCGCGGGUGGGUCACCA
rnacentral:tRNA from 1 species